UACGGAGGAUCCAAGCGUUAUCCGGAAUCAUUGGGCUUAAAGGGUCCGUAGGCGGUUUAAUAAGUCAGCGGUGAAAGCCCAUCGCUCAACGGUGGAACGGCCAUUGAUACUGUUAAACUUGAAUUAUUAGGAAGUAACUAGAAUAUGUAGUGUAGCGGUGAAAUGCUUAGAGAUUACAUGGAAUACCAAUUGCGAAGGCAGGUUACUGGUAAUGGAUUGACGCUGAUGGACGAAAGCGUGGGUAGCGAACAGG
rnacentral:rRNA from 1 species